rnacentral:rRNA from 1 species
AAGCCUGAUCCAGCAAUGCCGCGUGAGUGAAGAAGGCCUUCGGGUUGUAAAGCUCUUUUGUCAGGGAAGAAACGGUGAGGGCUAAUAUCCCUUGCUAAUGACGGUACCUGAAGAAUAAGCACCGGCUAACUACGUGCCAGCAGCCGCGGUAAUACGUAGGGUGCAAGCGUUAAUCGGAAUUACUGGGCGUAAAGCGUGCGCAGGCGGUUUUGUAAGUCUGUCGUGAAAUCCCCGGGCUCAACCUGGGAAUUGCGAUGGAGACUGCAAGGCUAGAAUCUGGCAGAGGGGGGUAGAAUUCCACGUGUAGCAGUGAAAUGCGUAGAGAUGUGGAGGAACACCGAUGGCGAAGGCAGCCCCCUGGGUCAAGAUUGACGCUCAUGCACGAAAGCGUGGGGAGCAAACAGGAUUAGAUACCCUGGUAGUCCACGCCCUAAACGAUGUCUACUAGUUGUCGGGUUUUAAUUAACUUGGUAACGCACCUAACGCGUGAAGUAGACCGCCUGGGGAGUACGGUCGCAAGAUUAAA